CCGGCUCCGGUUCACCCCGAAGAUCACGAUGGGGACCCGGCGGCC
rnacentral:ncRNA from 1 species